rnacentral:rRNA from 1 species
UGCGCAGUAACGCAUAAGUGCUCCGCCUGGGGAGUACGUACGCAAGUAUGAAACUCAAAGGAAUUGACGGGACCCGCACCAGCAGCGAGCAUGUGGUUUAAUCGAAGCAACGCGAAGAACCUACCAGGGCUGACAUCCCUCUGAAACUCCUGAUAACGAUGGAGCCUCUUCGGGACAGAGAGACAGGUGGUGCAUGGUGUCGUCAGCUCGUGUCGUGAGAUGUUGGGUUAAGUCCCGCAACGAGCGCAACCCUUGCCGAUAGUUGCCAUCGUUAAGUUGGGCACUCUAUCGGGACUGCCGGGGACAACUCGGAGGAAGGUGGGGAUGACGUCAAAUCAUCAUGCCCCUUAUGUUCUGGGCUACACACGUGCUACAAUGGUCGGUACAAAAAGCAGCGAUCCCGCGAGGGGGAGCGAAUCUCAAAAACCGAUCCCAGUUCGGACUGCAGGCUGAAACCCGCCUGCACGAAGUCGGAGUUGCUAGUAAUCGUGGAUCAGAAUGCCACGGUGAAUGCGUUCCCGGGUCUUGUACACACCGCCCGUCACACCAUGGAAGUUGGGGGUGCCCGAAGUGGACGAGUAAUAGUUACCUAAGGCAAAACCAAUGACUGGGGUGAAGUCGUAACAAGGUAACCUA